UACGGAGGGUGCAAGCGUUAUCCGGAUUCACUGGGCUUAAAGGGUGCGUAGGCGGGUUGGUAAGUCAGUGGUGAAAUCCCCGAGCUUAACUUGGGAACUGCCAUUGAUACUAUUAAUCUUGAAUACCGUGGAGGUUAGCGGAAUAUGUCAUGUAGCGGUGAAAUGCUUAGAUAUGACAUAGAACACCAAUUGCGAAGGCAGCUGGCUACACGAAUAUUGACACUGAUGCACGAAAGCGUGGGGAUCAAACAGG
rnacentral:rRNA from 1 species